GCUGGGCACAGUGGUGCACGCCUAUAAUCCUGCAACUCAGGAGGCUGAGGCAGGAGGAUCACAAGUAGAGACCAACCUCGGCAACUUAGUGAGACCCUGCCUCAA
rnacentral:sRNA from 1 species